rnacentral:rRNA from 1 species
AGAGUUUGAUCCUGGCUCAGAACGAACGCUGGCGGCGUGCCUAACACAUGCAAGUCGAGCGAGAAAGCCCGCAAGGGUGAGUAAAGCGGCGCACGGGUGCGUAACACGUGGGUAAUCUGCCCUGGAGUUCGGGAUAACUCGCCGAAAGGCGUGCUAAUACCGGAUAAGACCACGGGAGCCUCGGCUCCUGCGGGAAAAGGUGGCCUCUGUACACAAGCUAUCACUCCAGGAUGAGCCCGCGGCCCAUCAGCUCGUUGGCGGGGUAACGGCCCACCAAGG